CUGCUGCCUCCCGUAGGAGUUUGGGCCGUGUCUCAGUCCCAAUGUGGCCGUCCACCCUCUCAGGCCGGCUACUGAUCGUCGCCUUGGUGGGCCGUUACCCCGCCAACAAGCUAAUCAGACGCGGGUCCAUCUUACACCACCGGAGUUUUUCACACAAAUCCAUGCGGCUUCGUGCGCUUAUGCGGUAUUAGCACCUAUUCUAAGUGUUAUCCCCAGUGUAAGGCAGGUUACCCACGCGUUACUCACCGUCCGCCACUAAGA
rnacentral:rRNA from 1 species